rnacentral:rRNA from 1 species
CCUACGGGAGGCAGCAGUGAGGAAUAUUGGUCAAUGGACGCAAGUCUGAACCAGCCAUGCCGCGUGCAGGAAGACGGCUCUAUGAGUUGUAAACUGCUUUUGUACGAGGGUAAACGCAGAUACGCGUAUCUGUCUGAAAGUAUCGUACGAAUAAGCAUCGGCUAACUCCGUGCCAGCAGCCGCGGUAAUACGGAGGAUUCAAGCGUUAUCCGGAUUUAUUGGGUUUAAAGGGUGCGUAGGCGGUCGGAUAAGUUAGUGGUGAAAUCCCGAGGCUCAACCUCGGAAUUGCCUUUGAUACUGUUCGUCUAGAGAGUAGUUGAGGUAGGCGGAAUGUAUGGUGUAGCGGUGAAAUGCUUAGAGAUCACACAGAACACCGAUUGCGAAGGCAGCUUACCAAGCUACUUCUGACGUUGAGGCACGAAAGCGUGGGGAGCAAACAGGAUUAGAUACCCUAGUAGUC